AGUACCUCUCACCUCUCCCGGCCUCGAGCCAGACAGUAUCUCCUGAAAGCCCGACAGUUGAGCUGCCGGAUUUCUCAAGAGACUUAUCCGGCCGGCUACAGACCCUUUAGACCCAAUAAUAGCGGUUACCACUCGAGCCGCCGGUGUUACCGCGGCGGCUGGCACCGGUCUUGCCCGGCCCUUGCUAUGAAAUGCUUUUUAGGCAUCUCAACAGCCAGAAUUGUAUCCUGGCACUCGAGGUUCCCUUAUCGCCGUUGCCGGCAUUGUAAAGUUUUCGCACCUGCUGCACCCCGUAGGGCCUGGAUUCGUGUCUCAGAAUCCAUCUCCGGGCUCUUGCUCUCACAACCCGUACCCGUCGUAGGCUAGUAGGUACACUACACCCACUACUACCUGAUAGGCCGCAGACCCAUCCUUAGGCGCCGGGGCUUUCAUUCAGGGGGCAUUCCAGCGCCCCUGAACUAGCGGGUAUUAUACCCAGUUUCCCGGGUUUAUCCCCGACCUAAGGGUAGGUUGUCCACGUGUUACUGAGCAGUACGCCAUGCCUUGCGGCAUUCGACCCGCAUGGCUUAGUCGAACCUCGAUAGCAGUAACCUCUGGCAGAAUCGACCAGGUCUGCAGCGGCCGCGGACCGA
rnacentral:rRNA from 1 species